GCUAGAGAGGAAAUGUGCAGGGAACGACUUUGAUAUCUCGAAGCCAUGAUUGGAGUUAAACCAUCUGCACUGUCACUUCAAUCUAAACCAAUUGUACACUUACUUUCAUUGAAAUUAUUCUGUUUGGAAGAAGUAUUGAAAUGAGGUCUUGGUACGAUGGGUCAAACUUUCGGUACGGCGGCGAGGGGUAGACCUGCUAGGUUAACAAUCCUAGUUUCUUCAGAAAUUGUGAUCUUUUUGAUGAUCUAUUUCCUUCUGUGUGACUGUUGGAAUCUUCAAAAGUGUUGUUGGUAAUUGGUUGAGAGGGCCUGUUAUUUUCAUUCUCAACAUACUCUGCAUCUCUCAAAAGACGAAGUAAUUCAAAGGCACUUUCUUUUCCUUUAUCAUUUCCAUUCUGUGAGAUAUAGAAAAGAGGAACAAUAACUUCAUCCAAAAUCAACCCCUUUUUUCUCCAACUUCCCACUAAUACACAGAGUGAAGACUUUACAUACAGUUUCCGACUUAGAAUGAUGUUAUCCAAUUGUAUGACAUGUGCGAAAGUUAUAUCCUCGCUUGAUUGUAUAAGUUCAAGAGUUUCUGAAGUUGGUCUCGCUGCAUUCUUUUACAAAACCGAAUUCGGCCAGAAGAAAUGCUGCUUCUCCUAUAGUUUUGCUCAACCGGGUCUAUUCGUCGGUUUCAAGAAGAUGAGUUGGUCGGUUAGAAGCAGUGUAAACGACGGCAGUUUUAGUCCAUCAAACGGAAGUAACGGAAGGACGCGUAUCAUCUAUAAUGUCUUGUGUGAUCCAUCCUUAGCUUCCAGCACUUGUAGCACUUUGUUCAAUUCGCAGAUUAUUGUUCUGUGCACUUCUCUUUGGUGAAGAAUUAAUCUUCUUUUUAAGUUUUUGUUUCAGUUUUGAAUGUAACAAGGGCUUCCUUGUUUGUGCAUCAGACCGCGAUGCGUCUAUAAUUGUUCUUCAGUUAGCUCAUGUCCUAUAGUUCUUCAGGAGGACAUGUUUGUCCUAGACUUAAUUACUCAUGAACCAAAUCAGCAUUAAAUGAUACAUGUCUUCUCUUUAAUCCAAAAUGUAAUAAAACUUAUGUAUGUGCUCUUUUUUAAUAAAUGUUGGAGUUUCUAUAUUUUGUUUUAAAUUUCAUUGUUAAAUGGCACUGUGUUAUUGCACCCAUGUAUUUGCUCUAAGCUUCAUGUUAUUUUUAAUCUUAUUUUUCAUUGUUCAUGUCUAAUGGCCAGAUACAACAUCCAAGAUUGCAUUUGAAUAGGUUCGACAUGGUGAUUGCACCUAAGCAUGACUAUUAUCCUCUGACUCCACAAGGACAAGAACAAGUUCCCCGGCUUAUUCGAAGUUGGAUAACUCCACGUGAUCCUCCUGAUAGUCAUGUGGUAUGUAUAAUGUGCAUAUGAUAUGGCCAUAAGUAGCUUGUUGCUUUGACGGAGAAACUAUGAUUUUACUUUAUUGAGAAGACUCCUCAAAAAGUAUAUUUAUUGGUCUAAUGAUUGAUUAGUGUUUGUUUUGAAUUUACCAUGCCAGGAGUAUAUUUUACAUUUCUCAUGAUCAAUACUAAAACAAAAAGGCUAGGACAUUACUUGUAUUUCAUAUUAUUGAAUUUGAAAUUUUGCUUUCUGAAACUCUAUUAUUAGUUUUGAAAUAAAUGCUAUUGUCAAUUAAAAAAAACUUCGAUACUCAAGGCGAAGAUCAAGAAUUAAAAAGUGCAGCUGUUGCGCAAGUAUAGUGGAUAUCUCGGCAGUCUCAAGAAGGAGUUCUUGAAGAAGAAAAAGAAUGGAAAGUUACCAAAGGAAGCUCGUCAACAACUACUCGAUUGGUGGAACCGUCAUUACAAAUGGCCCUAUCCAUCGGUAACUAUGCUCUACAUUUGAAUAGGUUAAUUGUUGUACUUGCUAAGAAGGAAAGAGGCUUGAAAAGAUGCAGGAAGAACUUAUUUGUAUUAGCACGAACCUCGAAGACAGACUCAGAUUCCGUUAGUAUGAUAAGUGAAGCUUGUAGCACAGGGUAAGCUUGUGAAUAGGUAUUUCUAAAAUUAACACUAAUUUAAAUACUUUCUCUUGGUUCAAGUAUUUUAUAUUAUGAUAAUAAAUUAUUUUGUUUGUUCCACAGAAAGCCCGUUUACUUCAAUUUUCAAUUGUCUUUUGAAUGCUUCCAUAAACGAGUGACUUCCCAUCUUGCAGAUUUGCGAUUCCACUGUUGAUCCCUAGCCACACUCAAUCACGGUUCCCUCUGCUCCGGUCGUCGUUGAAGAUUCACUGUUUCAACAGUUUAGCAUCUUAUUGAUUCUAUAUUAAAGAAACUGUUUGAUGAUGGCGUAGUGAAACGUGAAGAUUUGUUUAUUACCUCGAAACUCUGAAAACAAUUGCUUCUCUAAGGCGUGGUAUUUUGGCCAUGGAUGAAUCCAAUGCUAUAUGUGGAAAGCGGUUGGAUUCAAUUGGACUAGAGAACACCGAAGCUAACCGUCAAGCAUGAUGUAAAAUUAUAUAUGAAGAAAGUGUUAUGACUUAGUUAAAAUAUAAUUUUUAUGUGUAUGAUUUUAUAGUACUUGAAAUAUUAUGACUGCACAUGAUUUUGUAUACUUUUUGGUUAAUAUUAAAAAUAUUUUGACUUAGUUAAAAUAUGAUUUUUAUGUGUAUGAUUUUAUAGUAUUUGCAAUAUUAUGACUGAAAAUGAAAUA